rnacentral:rRNA from 1 species
UAAUACGGAGGGUGCAAGCGUUAUCCGGAUUCACUGGGUUUAAAGGGUGCGUAGGCGGAUUUGUAAGUCCGUGGUGAAAUCUCUAAGCUUAACUUGGAAAUUGCCGUGGAUACUAUAAGUCUUGAAUAUUGUGGAGGUUAGCGGAAUAUGUCAUGUAGCGGUGAAAUGCAUAGAUAUGACAUAGAACACCAAUUGCGAAGGCAGCUGGCUACACAACUAUUGACGCUGAGGCACGAAAGCGUGGGGAUCAAACAGGAUUAGAUACCCUGGUAGUCCACGCCCUAAACGAUGAUUACUCGACAUUUGCGAUACACAGCAAGUGUCUGAGCGAAAGCAUUAAGUAAUCCACCUGGGAAGUACGACCGCAAGGUUGAAACUUAAAUGAAUUGACGG